rnacentral:lncRNA from 1 species
GAUUUAUAAUAAUGUAAAACAUUUAUCCAAACUACCAAAAGUCUAAAAUAAACAGUUUACAGAGCAUGGGGUAGAUAAUAUGUAGGUUCGUUUCGUGUGUAUUCUAGUCCAGUCGCCAUCUAAUUAACUAUCGAUUUGACCUCAGAUGACCAUAUAAGCGAUGUAAACAUGAAUAAAGAUAUGAAUAGAUUAAACCAACACGUGCAAUUGGAUUUUUUUUUAGGUCUGUUUGAGUUUAUUUUAUAGAUUAAAAAUAUAUGUUUCUCAUUGUCUUUAACCGUAUAAGAAUGAUUUUAUAUGGAUCGAAUCAGUAAUCAAAUGAUUUACCGUAGUUUCACUUUCAUUGUUGACAUUCUUUUUCUUUAAAUAACCAGUACACGUACAAUGCAUGCGUUGUCAAUCUCUAGC